AAUAUUGGACAAUGGGUGGAACGCUGAUCCAGCCAUGCCGCGUGCGUGAAGUAGGUCUUCGGAUUGUAAAGCACUUUAAGUUGGGAGUAGGAGUUGUAGGCUAAUACCUUGCAAUUUUGACGUUACCAACAUAAUAAGCACCGGCUAACUUCGUGCUAGCAUCCGCGGUAAUACGCGGGGUGCAAGCGUUAAUCGGAAUUACUGGGCGUAAAGCGCGCGUAGGUGGUUCGUUAAGUUGGAAGUGAAAGCCCCGGGCUCAACCUGGGAACUGCUUUCAAAACUGACAAGCUAGAGUAUGGCAGAGGGUGGUGGAAUUUCCUGUGUAGCGGUGAAAUGCGUAGAUAUAGGAAGGAACACCAGUGGCGAAGGCGACCACCUGGGCUAAUACUGACACUGAGGUGCGAAAGCGUGGGGAGCAAACAGG
rnacentral:rRNA from 1 species